AUUGAACGCUGGCGGCAGGCCUAACACAUGCAAGUCGAACGAGCGGCGGACGGGUGAGUAAUGUAUGGGGAACUGCCCGAUGGAGGGGGAUAACUACUGGAAACGGUAGCUAAUACCGCAUACCAUCGGAUGUGCCCAUAUGGGAUUAGCUAGUAGGUGGGGUAAAGGCUCACCUAGGCGACGAUCCCUAGCUGGUCUGAGAGGAUGACCAGCCACACUGGAACUGAGAAACGGUCCAGACUCCUACGGGAGGCAGCAGUGGGGAAUAUUGCACAAUGGGCGCAAGCCUGAUGCAGCCAUGCCGCGUGUAUGAAGAAGGCCUUCGGGUUGUAAAGUACUUUCAGCGGGGAGGCGUUACCCGCAGAAGAAGCACCGGCUAACUCCGUGCCAGCAGCCGCGGUAAUAC
rnacentral:rRNA from 1 species